CCUACGGGGGGCAGCAGUAGGGAAUCUUCGGCAAUGGACGCAAGUCUGACCGAGCAACGCCGCGUGAGUGAAGACGGUUUUCGGAUCGUAAAGCUCUGUUGUAGGGGAAGAACGUGUGUAAGAGUGGAAAGCUUACACAGUGACGGUACCCUACCAGAAAGGGACGGCUAACUACGUGCCAGCAGCCGCGGUAAUACGUAGGUCCCGAGCGUUGUCCGGAUUUAUUGGGCGUAAAGGGAGCGCAGGCGGUUUAGUAAGUCUGAAGUUAAAGGCAUUGGCUCAACCAAUGUAUGCUUUGGAAACUGUUAGACUUGAGUGCAGAAGGGGAGAGUGGAAUUCCAUGUGUAGCGGUGAAAUGCGUAGAUAUAUGGAGGAACACCGGUGGCGAAAGCGGCUCUCUGGUC
rnacentral:rRNA from 1 species